GUGUUCACCUGGACAACAGACUAGAGUGGAGAUGCAACUGUGAAGCCAGAAAUUGCAGAGGCAGACAAUAUUUCAAAAUACCAUAUUUUUUUUAUCUCUGACAUAAUGAUUUUCUUAUUUUUUGUUUUUACAGGUCCGUGUGAGGAUGCAUUGGAAGUGCAAAUACUGUAUACAUGAAGUUCAACAGGAUUGUUGGCAAGAACCUCAAGCAGGAAAUCUAUGAGAGCAUCGAUCGCCACAGUCCUCGUCUUAUAAGAGAGGGAAUGUUGGCCAAAAGCUGACACAGCUUUUGGCUAACAGACCAAGACUGCAGAGCCAACUGCUAUUGGGACACUAGUUCUCAGAGUGCUUCCUCUUAUCCUUGGAGACAACCCCUCAGACAUCUACAAACAAGGCUCUGACUCGGAUGAUGAUGACUCAUUCCGCAACAUUGACAUUGGGAUCUUCCUCGUUGAACCUGAAGGUGCUGUCCCAUUAUCCUCCCUGCAUCUCAGUCCAGCUUCAUUGAAGAUCAUCAAUGAAGGAGAAGUGGUGAUGGACAACAUUCAAGUCUUGCCAAAAGCUAUGUGCGUUCUCUUUGGACUUUCAUACACAAUGCAUCUCAACUACCCCAGGUCUAUGAAGCUCACGUUCCAGUUUAUCCAACAGGUACUUCUAGAGCUGGGCCACAGUGAAAUUAAACCAAAGUUACAAACAUUGAAAAACCAGCUCGCGAUGUAAAGCGAUGUUGUCUUGUGUGUUGUGUUACACCUGCAAGUUCUGCCACAGCUUUUACUGUUUAAGAAAGUUUAUAAUGUUAAGUUUACAAUGUUAUGAGAGACAUGAAUGUGCAGCCAUUUGUGGUGUAUACAGUACCAGAUGUAGAGGCGUAUGCUCAGGACUACAUAGUAAUACUCAGUUGAUAUAAUACAGUUAAAGGAAAAUUUUGUACUUUUUAUGUAAAUGUCCAUUGAGUUGAAGCUGUAAAUUCGACUGUGUGGUCGAUUGACCAAAACGUUUUCCUGCUCAUGGGGCUGUGCAGUAGUGCCUUCAUAAAUCCACAUCUGUGGCAGAGGGCAAUCUAGAAAUGUAUGUUGAAAUAACAUGUAGUCAUGUUUCCUUAACAGAAACACAACUAUAUAUUUUGCAAAAUAAGUUUUCUCAAACAAUUUAGCAGCACAGGGAUUUAUUGCUUGUUGACUACAUUUACUAAGACUAUAUAUUCACAUAGAACGUGCAAAAUCUUCCCUUUAACACAGUUAAUUUGUCCUUUUUCAAGUUGAAAAUUUAGAAG